rnacentral:rRNA from 1 species
GACGAACGCUGGCGGCGUGCUUAACACAUGCAAGUCGAACGGAAAGGCCCUGCUUGCAGGGUACUCGAGUGGCGAACGGGUGAGUAACACGUGGGUGAUCUGCCCUGCACUUCGGGAUAAGCCUGGGAAACUGGGUCUAAUACCGGAUAGGAGCCAUUUUUAGUGUGAUUGUUGGAAAGUUUUUUCGGUGUGGGAUGAGCUCGCGGCCUAUCAGCUUGUUGGUGGGGUAAUGGCCUACCAAGGCGGCGACGGGUAGCCGGCCUGAGAGGGUGGACGGCCACAUUGGGACUGAGAUACGGCCCAGACUCCUACGGGAGGCAGCAGUGGGGAAUAUUGCACAAUGGGCGCAAGCCUGAUGCAGCGACGCCGCGUGGGGGAUGACGGCCUUCGGGUUGUAAACUCCUUUCGCUAGGGACGAAGCUUUUUGUGACGGUACCUAGAUAAGAAGCACCGGCUAACUACGUG